rnacentral:rRNA from 1 species
UACGUGAGGGGCGAACGUUGUUCGGUGUCACUGGGCUUAAAGGGCGCGUAGGUGGCUGUGCAAGUAAGGUGUGAAAUCCCUCGGCUUAACCGGGGAACUGCGUCUGAUACUGGAUGGCUUGAGUUCGGGAGAGGGAUGCGGAAUUCCAGGUGUAGCGGUGAAAUGCGUAGAUAUCUGGAGGAACACCGGUGGCGAAGGCGGCAUCCUGGACCGACACUGACACUGAGGAGCGAAAGCCAGGGGAGCAAACGGG